ACCCUGCAGGAGGAAAGAUCGUUAGUAAAGCUGUUGGAUUUUCUCACUGAAAAUCUUUUGUGAGGUGUGCGGGAAGUGAAGGACGUGUGUUCUCAUUUCAGAAUGCCUCCGAUAUUUUCUUUAGGUUACCUUAACUCUGCGUGCCCGUGGCUGUGCAGCACGGACAGCUGGUGCCUGAUCAGGUAGGACAGUUGUGAUAGGUGUAACUGGCAAACGUGUAGGAUGUUCUUCCUGGGGCUGAUGUUGCUGGACCCUUGUAGUGGAAGUUGAUUUUAAUCUGAUGGAAUUUAAAUUCCCAACUUCUUCCUGUUUCAGUAAGUGGGCAAGUAGCAGCUGCUGCAGCAGACAUUAGGUCUCACUGGUAAUGAGAUGACUCCUUUGCAAUGUCUGCGCUGCAGUCUCCGGAUUCCCCAGACCUGCUGCCUUGUGAGCAGACCCAAUUUAACACAACCUGUCUAAUAUGAAAGAUCCCAGACUAAGAGCAGGGAGUGAACUUGCUUAAAGGUAGCUUUGCCGGCACUUCAAAGGAAAACCUACAUUCAGUAGAGACUCAGGUAUCUGCAAGGGGGCAGACUGCCUUUUAAAAAUGGCCUUUAAGUGUUUUGUUUGGUUACAUCAUAUCAUCUAGUAUCUGGACAUUCAAUUUAAAUGUGCAUAAUUCCUCUGUUUGCAUCUAAAAUAUACAAAGCAAUAGGAGUUGCUACUGUGUGUAAUAAAUUCUAUAACGUACUCCCAAAUCUAGCAUGUGGAUGCACAAGGUGGGUUAGCAGCAGAGUGACCAGCUGAGCUAGAUCUGCUACUGGUGUACAUCAGAAUUCCUCCCUGACAUCCACGGGUUUACACAAUUUACACCAGUGUUAGAUCUGGGUCUGAGUCUGGGAUUCUUAAAACUGGAAAGGAGUGGAAACAGCAACGUUGUCCCAAGAGAUCCCGGCUUCGCACUGGGGCACUGUUCCUGCUGUACCCGUGAGCACCCCAGCACUCAGUGGGAAAGGGAGUGAUGCUGCUUGGGAUGUGGCUGUGUGACUGGCAAGAGGUGCUGACGUUUCCUUCCUGCAGAUUUGUACGGCCAUGGCGUUCUGUAGAACGGGGGAAAGGCUCUUGCUGCUUUGCUCUACUGCUGCUUCCCUGUGGGCUUGCCAGAGGCAUUUGUUUUCUAUUGUCCCAUGCCUAUGCUGUGAGGUUUCAGCGCUGUUUUUUUCUCAGGGAUAUUGUUUGAGCCCUGCAUGUGCCUUGGCCAGCAGGCAGAGCCAAGAACCCAUCAUGGUUGGACUGGAUGAUCUUCAGAGGUCCCUUCCAACCUCGGCCAUUCUAUGACGGUGCUGUCUGUCAGAAGGGGACCCUGUGGUGUAGGACAUGGUGAUGCAAGUCCUGCUCCUGGGGUCCUGCUCCAGGGCCCUGUAUGUUGUGCAGGGUUGUUUAUUUUGAGAGGUGGGAUCAAUUUUUCCUGCCUGAAAGUCUGUGAGAUGUGGACAAGGGAUGCUAAUGUAGUCAUUUGUAAGAUGUAGGUGUCCAGGACAGAGUGCUCUAGUCGUGGAGCUCUGAGUAUUUCUAUUAUUUUUUAAAAUUGCCUUCUGGAUAUUUAUAAAUGUGGGAUUUUAUUUUAUUUUUUAUAUAAGCUCAAGCUAGUGCUGAAGCACGAGCAUAGCCUCCUGGCUGGCAGAGCAGCGAUGGUGAAGCCUUCACCACCAGACGUCCCAGCCUUCAAAGCUCCCUGAGCAAAAAGUUCCUGCUCCCUGAGCAAAAAAUAAAAGCAAAUUCCUGCUGCAGAGAGCAGAAUUAGAAGCCAAUGGUCUGCAAAGUCUAACAGAGCAGCAGUUUUGCAAGCAAUGCUGGUAAAUCCCUGGCAUGUAAAGUGGUACAGUGCAAACAAGUGCUGCACAUGCUUCUGCUGUGAACUGUGUUUGGGUUGUUGAAAUUGCACCACUGCUCUGUGAUCAGCGGAGGGAUCUGGCAUCUCUGGGUUUUGUUUAUUACAGAUGUCCUAGCAGCAAUAUCUAGCGUGAAGAGACAGGCAGAAUUUAGGUGAGACCAUCUAAAUGUAUGUGCCAAUGCAGCUUUCAAAUGAUUCCUUCCUCUCCCCCUUCACUGCACACGUGUGUUGGGGCUGGAGUUUUUGUGUGCUGGCUGCUGGAUUCUAUUCUAUAAUCCUGGAUUAUGCAGUUUGUUUGUUUUUUUCCUUUUGCAGCAUGAGUUACUGAUUUGUCCUGUUUAUGGAAGUAAAAUAUACUCUCCCUCCUUAGCUUGAUUGUGGCUUGCCAAAAUAAUGUUUGUUUUGUCUUGUUCCACUUUGGUUUUGCUUUUCAGAAGGGCAGGAUCGUCCAACAGUGCUGGCAGGCAAACAGCUGUGAGCAAGCUGUCAGGCUUCUCGCCCUGGGCUUUCAGUCAGGCUGGCUGCCUCCAGACUCAAGGGCUUUAAGUUAAACAGAUUUGCAGGAACAGCUGAGAUCUUCGUUCUGGAUAUGAGGUGUGACUAAGGGUCAGGGAAAGGAUGAGUUUUGUCCUGGCCUGGAUGUGUGGAAGAGAAUGAGCCCCUCUUGUGAACAGAAGCUCAUUUCUGAGUGCUUGAAAUCUGCCAGAUACUCAAAACUGUCUUGGUUUCCUGGCAGAGAGAGAAGAGGAAAGGCUUUUCAUCCUCCUUAUCUUUGGGCCCAGGAGCUCUCAUGGCUAAGUAGUGUAAUCUUUUUCAAAACAGAUUACUGGGGCUUCGCUGUACAUUUCAGUGCCUCGGCUUGGCGGGGCUGCUGCUGAGUCUGUUCGAGCCUUGCCUUUAUCAAGCUGUCUUCACAGAAGAAGUCUUCCCUCCUAUCCCUCUGUUUCUAGCUCAGUAUUAAUAAUGCGUCCUUGGUGGUAAAAUCUGUGGUAGUGUGGUCACCAUUGAUCUGCUGUGGUCAGGCUUAUAAAGGGGGGGAGGGAGGGGUUGGAGGCCAGCAUCCUUUUUCCCAUGCAGCUGUUAGACUGCUGGUUGGGCUUUGCAAAUUCACGAGCAAAAAUAUUGCCUGUGUGUAAAGAUAAUGUUCUUAAAUAUGCUUUUUUCUACUUGGACAGAAAGACCAUCUGUGGAUGCUUACGGGUAGGCGAGUGAACCAGAAGUACACUUAAUUGGUGGAUAUCUGUGGUGGGUAUAUGUGGUAUGUAAUGUAUGAGUUACCUGCUAGAGGAGGUCCACCGAUGGCUGCUAUCCCAGCAAAGAAGGAAGCAAAUCCCAAGUAGCUGUGGAGUUUUGGCACACCAACAAGAUCGACCUGAUUGUAAAACCAAAUCAGUAAUUAUCAGUAGGGUUCAUGUGAAUGAACAAGGCACAAAGCACCUUUUCUCGGGAGUUUCCUUUCCAGCUGCUGUAAUGUUUGGGGAGGACUUUGCACAUGUGAUUUAGCCUUGAAUCCGCUCGCCUCCUUAAGGUCGGUGCUGAAAUUACAGGGAUGCAAGGUGCAUUGCUCUCAUCCCGCUGUUCGGGCAGCUCCUGAAACUGGUGAUGCUGCUGAGGCUUUGAGGAGGCUGGUGUAAAAUCUGACUGCAUUCCUUCCCGGGAGGAAAUCCCAAAUUGUAAUAUUGUUUCCCUAUCCAGAUCCUGCUGUAACUGGUCUGUGUGUUACAGAUAAUUCAGGGGUUGGGACUAGAUAUUCACAACGCUCUGGUUUUGCCUGAGUGCUUGUAAAUGAAUGGAUUCAUUCUGGUUCCCAGGAGCUGGAGCCAUCUCCUUUAGAAAGGAGGAUGUGGGAAGCAAUUAGCUGAGUCAAAUCACUGACAAUCUGCAGCAGACUCUGGGUGCUUUUGUUGCACCUGGGCUGUGCAUGCCAGUCAGCGGGCUGGGGGGGAGACUGGGGCUCUCGAGGGGCUCAAACUGGGGGGUCUGGAGGGGAGACCCCUCUGAUGCAAGUCUGCAACAGCCCAGGGCACUUCAGCUUUAGGAAAAGGUUGUUAGGUAUUUUGUGGAAUAUUGCUGGAAACACUGUGUAUUAUUAUUAUUAUUUAUUAUUAUUUAAAGAAAUAUCCUCACCAGCACGGGGAGCACCAGAGCCAGGAAUCCACCACAGAAAAUGGCAAAGGCCACAGCGUAGGUCAUGAGCAGCGGGAACGUGGUGGCCAGAGGGCAGAGAAGGUUGGUGAUGCCGCAGAGCACCAGGUAAGCUGCGUGGUAGUGGUACUUCUUGGUCCAGUUCUGGUCGGCGAUCCACCCCGAGAGAAGUUGGCUGACUGUCUCUGUGAUGCCUGGGGAAAAGGAGGUCAUCGAGCCUCAAAGAAGAUUUUUUUUUUUUUUUUUUUUUUUACAUUUUUUUCCCUAUUUUGUGAAGAGCUGUGAAAUGCAUUCCGCCUGCCACUUGCUUUAAGGAUGUGGCCACAAAGGGCUGCAAUGCCAAGAAGCUGCAGGAAGGCAUUUUUAGGCUGUUGUAAAAUUCAUGCUUUUUUCUUUACCUUGGUGCCUUCGUUGCCUGUGGGUGCACAAAAGUGGUAUGUAGAAAUUCAAUUAAGGGCUGUGCACUCAACAGAAAACUCUGAAGUGCCUUCAGUAAAAAUAGGAAAGAAAGGUUUGUCACUUGAUCUUUUUCAAGAUGAAGAAAAAGCAGACUACUGAGAAGCGUUUGUGUGUGUUUUUUUUUAAGAAGCAAAAAAGGACAAAAGCCCAGCUUUUUUUUUUUUUUUAAAGGAUCAGCAAACCUUUCAUACUUGAUUUAACGUUUCCAGAUGCCUUUUUAUAAACUAAAGGUGAAAGGACUUGUAACUGUCAGCUCUGUCUUGGUGACCCUCCUACUCUUAAUUCAAAAUGUCAGAUGAAUGGCUGUGAUCUCUUUCUAGACACUUCCACAGCAUGCAUAAUUUCUAAAUGUUAUACAGCAUUGUAGAAGACAAAUUUAUUUUUGUAUAAUAAAAUAUUUUAUCAUGACUGA